rnacentral:rRNA from 1 species
GACGAACGCUGGCGGCGUGCUUAACACAUGCAAGUCGAGCGGAGCGGCGAACGGGUGAGUAACGCGUGAGUAACUGCCCCCCUCUCUGGGAUAACAGUUGGAAACGGCUGCUAAUACCGGAUAGUGGGGGAUGACUCGCGUCCUAUCAGCUUGUUGGUGGGGUAGUGGCCUACCAAGGCGACGACGGGUAGCCGGCCUGGGAGGGGGACCGGCCACAUUGGGCAGGGAUGCGGCCCAAGCUCCUACGUGAGGCAGCGGUGGGGAAUGGUGCACAAUGGGGGAAACGCUGAUGCAGGAACGCCGGGUGGGGGAGGACGGCCUUCGGGUUGGAAACCGCUUUCAGCCAUGACGCGGUAGUGGCAGAAGAAGCACGGGCUAACUACGUGCCAGCAGCCGCGGUAAAC